GCGGCUGUAGCGCAGUUGGUAGAGUGUAUUGGCCACUAACCGUAGGGUUGGUGGUUCGAUUCCCAGCCUGG